rnacentral:rRNA from 1 species
AGUGAACGCUGGCGGUAGGCCUAACACAUGCAAGUCGAACGGCAGCACAGUAAGAGCUUGCUCUUACGGGUGGCGAGUGGCGGACGGGUGAGGAAUACAUCGGAAUCUACUUUUUCGUGGGGGAUAACGUAGGGAAACUUACGCUAAUACCGCAUACGACCUACGGGUGAAAGCAGGGGAUCUUCGGACCUUGCGCGAUUGAAUGAGCCGAUGUCGGAUUAGCUAGUUGGCGGGGUAAAGGCCCACCAAGGUGACGAUCCGUAGCUGGUCUGAGAGGAUGAUCAGCCACACUGGAACUGAGACACGGUCCAGACUCCUACGGGAGGCAGCAGUGGGGAAUAUUGGACAAUGGGCGCAAGCCUGAUCCAGCCAUACCGCGUGGGUGAAGAAGGCCUUCGGGUUGUAAAGCCCUUUUGUUGGGGAAGAAAAGCAGCAGGUUAAUACCCCGCUGUUCUGACGGUACCCAAAGAAUAAGCACCGGCUAACUUCGUG